UUGAUUAAAUAUUUAUAGGAUAGAGAUGGGCUCGCGUGACAUUAGCUAGUUGGUAGGGUAACGGCUUACCAAGGCGACGAUGUCUAGGGGCUCUGAGAGGAGAAUCCCCCACACUGGUACUGAGACACGGACCAGACUCCUACGGGAGGCAGCAGUAAGGAAUAUUGGUCAAUGGGCGGAAGCCUGAACCAGCCAUGCCGCGUGCAGGAUGACUGCCCUAUGGGUUGUAAACUGCUUUUGUCCAGGAAUAAACCUAAAUACGUGUAUUUAGCUGAAUGUACUGGAAGAAUAAGGAUCGGCUAACUCCGUGCCAGCAGCCGCGGUAAUACGGAGGAUCCGAGCGUUAUCCGGAUUUAUUGGGUUUAAAGGGUGCGUAGGCGGCCUAUUAAGUCAGGGGUGAAAUACGGUGGCUCAACCAUCGCAGUGCCUUUGAUACUGAUGGGCUUGAAUCCAUUUGAAGUGGGCGGAAUAAGACAAGUAGCGGUGAAAUGCAUAGAUAUGUCUUAGAACUCCGAUUGCGAAGGCAGCUCACUAAGCUGGUAUUGACGCUGAUGCACGAAAGCGUGGGGAUCGAACAGGAUUAGAUACCCUGGUAGUCCACGCCCUAAACGAUGAUAACUCGAUGUUGG
rnacentral:rRNA from 1 species